GGAAGGGUUAUGGCUCAGUGGUUGAGCACAUGCUUUGCAUGCAGAAGGUCUGAGGUUCAAUUCCCAGAAUCUCCA